UUCAGGGAGUGGGUUUGUUCAUCUUUCAUAUUAUAUUGAAUGAUGAGGUCAAAGUUGCUCUGCGGUCAAAACUAAACAGCACACCAGGGGAACAUCGUAUACGUAAAGAAAGUGGUCUUACUAUUUGGGUGGAGUUUGUGUCAAAGGUUACUGGAUUUUCAUCUAUCAGAAAG